UACGAAGGGGGCUAGCGUUGCUCGGAAUCACUGGGCGUAAAGCGCACGUAGGCGGAUUGCUAAGUCAGGGGUGAAAUCCUGGGGCUCAACUCCAGAACUGCCUUUGAUACUGGCAACCUUGAGUCCGGGAGAGGUGAGUGGAACUGCGAGUGUAGAGGUGAAAUUCGUAGAUAUUCGCAAGAACACCAGUGGCGAAGGCGGCUCACUGGCCCGGUACUGACGCUGAGGUGCGAAAGCGUGGGGAGCAAACAGG
rnacentral:rRNA from 1 species